GACAGAGGGUGCAAACGUUGCUCGGAAUCACUGGGCGUAAAGGGCGUGUAGGCGGGCAGGUAAGUCGGGCGUGAAAUCCCUGAGCUCAACUCAGGAACUGCACUCGAAACUACUUUUCUUGAGUGCCGGAGAGGAAAGCGGAAUUCCUGGUGUAGAGGUGAAAUUCGUAGAUAUCAGGAGGAACACCAGUGGCGAAGGCGGCUUUCUGGACGGUAACUGACGCUGAGACGCGAAAGCGUGGGGAGCAAACAGG
rnacentral:rRNA from 1 species